CUUUGACUUUGCUUAGACUUAUGUUUCAGUUAAAACGAGACAGAUUUAUGUCAGCGAUGUAACGCUGUCUCGUUUUUACUGUGUCUUAAGUUUGAGUAAAGCGAAAGUGCGUUCUAUAU